rnacentral:rRNA from 1 species
CCCUUAGAUGUUCUGGGCCGCACGCGCGCUACACUGAUGCAUUCAACGAGUCUAAAACCUGCUCUGAUAGGGGUGGGUAAUCUUUUGAAUGUGCAUCGUGAUUGGGAUAGAUGAUUGCAAUUUUUCAUCUUCAACGAGGAAUGCCUAGUAAACGCAAGUCAUCAGCUUGCAUUGGUUACGUCCCUGCCCUUUGUACACACCGCCCGUCGCUCCUACCGAUUGAAUGAUCCGAUGAAUAUCAUGGAUUGAGGAUGCAAGUAGGUUAGCCUAUCUUCAUCUUCGAGAAGUGAAGUAAAUCUUAUCAUUUAGAGGAAGGAGAAGUCGUAACA